rnacentral:rRNA from 1 species
UACGUAGGGGGCAAGCGUUGUCCGGAAUCAUUGGGCGUAAAGCGCGUGUAGGCGGCUUCGUAAGUCCGUUGUGAAAGUCCAGGGCUCAACCCUGGAAUGCCGAUGGAUACUGCGGAGCUAGAGUCCGGAAGAGGCGAGUGGAAUUCCUGGUGUAGCGGUGAAAUGCGCAGAUAUCAGGAGGAACACCAAUGGUGAAGGCAGCUCGCUGGGACGGUACUGACGCUGAGACGCGAAAGCGUGGGGAGCAAACAGG